GUACUUAGCCCAUUUGGGACUGAAUUUCAACAAGUCUUUCUCCAAACUUCUAAACACUCUUCAUGAUGCUCUAGCACUUGUAAUCAAUCAAAAUAAUUGUAUUCUAACAUAUUCUAACCCCAAGAAACAGUAUAGAGGCCAUUUAAUGCUUGAAAGCAAAGGUUGUGGGUUCUUAGCUCAUUUCGGCCCAAAUUUCAGCAAGUCAUUCUACACUCUUCUAAACACUCUUCU
rnacentral:lncRNA from 1 species